rnacentral:lncRNA from 1 species
CUACAAGAAGAGGAAUUGAAAAAUAGUGCCCAAAACUAACAGUGGGAGGUAUCUCAGUAAAGGGGGAGAAAAAUAACCAAAGAGGAAAAACUAGCCAAACUAAAAUAAAUAAAUAAAUAAACAUGACUGGAAGUACAAACCAUAUUUCAAUUGUAACCUUAAAUGUUAAUGGCUUAAAUUCACCAAUCAAGAGACAUAGGCUAGUAACCUGGAUUAAAAAAACAAAUCCAACAAUAUGCUGCCUUCAGGAGACUCAUAUGAUAGGAAAAGACAUACACAGGCUGAAGGUGAAAGGUUGGGAAAAAUCAUACCACUCACAUGGCCCUCGGAAGCAAGCAGGAGUGGCCAUACUCAUAUCGAAUAAAAUCAACUUCAAACCUAAGUUAAUCAAAAGGGAUAAAGAAGGACACUAUAUACUGUUAAAAGGAACCAUCUGCCAUCAAGACAUAACAAUUAUCAAUUUGUAUGCACCAAACAAUGGUGCUGCAACGUUCAUAAAACAAACUCUCCUCAAGUUCAAGAGUCAAAUAGACCACAACACAAUAAUUAUGGGGGACUUCAACACACUGCUCUCGCCAUUGGACAGAUCCUCUAGACAAAAGCUGAACAAAGAAAUUAUAAAACUCAAUAACGCAAUCAAUAACCUAGACUUAACCGACAUAUAUAGAAUGUAUCAACCAUCAUCAAGUGGAUACACGUUCUUCUCAGCAGCACAUGGAUCCUACUCAAAGAUAGAGCAUAUAUUAUGCCAUAGGGUUACUCUCAGUAAAUAUAAAGGUGUGGAGAUAAUGCCAUGCACCAUAUCUGAUCAUAAUGGAACGAAACUGGAAAUCAAUGAUAAAAGAAGGAAGGAAAAAUCCUACAUCACAUGGAAAAUUAACAAUAUGUUACUGAAUGAUUAAUGGGUUACAGAAGACAUAAAGGAGGAGACAAAAAAAUUCUUAGAGACAA